GCUCCAAAGUCAACGUUCUUAACGUCUGCCUUACACUGUCUCCAUGUUCUUACCUUUCAUCCAUUUUCUCUGGCUCAUCAUCUUGUCCAUUUCCCUUCUCAGGGUCACCACCUCCCUCAGACGUUUCUGGGACAGAUCCAAGCCAGCAGAGCAGCUGCUCGCUCCAGAGCCGUGGUGUCUUCCUGGUGCAUCAGCGCCACCGCGUGGCAAAACAGGGCAACUGUAGGAAUCGACUUUCCAUCUAUUUGGAGCUCAUCAGUGCUUUUCUUUUAGACUCAUAUGGCAGGAACAAGAAGUGCACAUGCCAAAAGAAAGGCAGAGGACUGCAGGAGCAAGACGGGUUGCAAGGGGCGUGAUGACUAGCACAAUCCUGGCCCCUCUUCUUCCAGCAUUAUAAAGACACAGUAGAAUAAUAGUGCAUGAGUUAUUGUGACAGUAGCACUUUUCAAAAAUAUAUAGCAUUGUGGAAACAGACGCCUCCAAAUAUAUAUUCCUCACUGCAAUAAAUGUCUAUGUAAGAGUAAUAUCUAAAUCUGGUUACGUAUGUGCUAGCCCUUACUUGCACAUCUGAUAGUGUUCCACGAUUCCUUUGCAGAAGCUGUGGCUGACUUUCCCACCUGGGGUGAUUUCAG
rnacentral:lncRNA from 1 species